rnacentral:rRNA from 1 species
GAUGAACGCUAGCGGCAGGCCUAAUACAUGCAAGUCGAACGAUAGAUGAGAGCUUGCUCUCAUCGAAAGUGGCGCACGGGUGCGUAACGCGUAUGCAACCUACCUUCAUCAGGGGGAUAGCCCGGAGAAAUCCGGAUUAAUACCGCAUAAAAUCACAGGAUGGCAUUAUCCAAUGAUCAAACA